GUAGACUUGUUUGCUUUACCGAGAAGGUCCGAAUUCCGCGAGUGUUAAGUAUUCAAAAGUGGCGUACGAGGUGGAGAUUUUACCCGUACAGUUUUUUUUCGGUCACCGUGAGUGAAAUAAAAGAAUAUAACGUGUGUGCGCAGCGGAGAAGUACUUUUUUCUUUAGGCGGAUUUUGCCUAUAGGCAGUACGGCAGGUUUUUGCUGGUGUUUCGGUUUGCCUGUGUAUAUAUCGACAGAAAGAGGAUUUCGCUUUUCCCGUGGAUAUUUGCCGAAUGGUUUUGAGCAACAAAUCGUCGGUUUUUUAAAGCGAUCACUGGAGGAUUUGGAUUUGGCGGACAUUUUUAACAACGAUAUAACGAACGGAAUUGUUGCGGUUGGUUUUUUUUUGUCAUCGGUUGCUGGUUGCUUUCAAGAUUUUGUGUGCUGCUGCUGUUGCUUUGCUGAACUCGACCAAGUGAGACGCUGGACCUGUGGUAGAAGGAUUUACCGGAAACUGGUUAGCUGUUGUAAUUUCAAGGUCUCACUCGGAGGUCGGCUUGUAUCAGCGCAUAGGCAACAAUUAAAGUUGACAAGCCAGCAGAAGCAACAUUUUAAGAAAAUUAUUUUCGAUCACCCUCAACGUUUGGGUAAGCGCAGGAGAGAAUCUUACGAGG